AGCGAACGCUGGCGGCAUGCCUAACACAUGCAAGUCGCACGGGGGGGCUUCGGCCUCCCAGUGGCGGACGGGUGAGGAACGCGUAGGGACCUGUCGAGGGGUGGGGGAUAACCGCGGGAAACUGCGGCUAAUACCGCAUGACGCCGCGGCGUGACAGCCGGGGCCAAAGGCGAAAGCCGCCCGCCGAGGGGCCUGCGUCCGAUUAGCUGGUUGGCGGGGUAGCGGCCCACCAAGGCGUCGAUCGGUAGCUGGUCUGAGAGGGUGAUCAGCCACACCGGGACUGAGACACGGCCCGGACUCCUACGGGAAGCAGCAGUGGGGAAUAGUGGACAAUGGGCGCAAGCCUGAUCCAGCAAUGCCGCGUGGGUGAAGAAGGUCUUCGGAUUGUAAAGCCCUUUCGGCGGGGACGAUGGUGACGGUACCCGCAGAAGAAGCCCCGGCUAACUUCGUG
rnacentral:rRNA from 1 species